rnacentral:rRNA from 1 species
AACGAACGCUGGCGGCGUGCUUAACACAUGCAAGUCGAGCGGUAAGGCCCUUUCGGGGGUACACGAGCGGCGAACGGGUGAGUAACACGUGGGUGACCUGCCCUCAGCUCUGGGAUAAGCCUGGGAAACCGGGUCUAAUACUGGAUAUGACUCCAUGACGCAUGUUGUGGGGUGGAAAGCCUUGUGCGGCUGAGGAUGGGGCCCGCGGCCUAUCAGCUUGUUGGUGGGGUGANGGCCUACCAAGGCGACGACGGGUAGCCGGCCUGAGAGGGCGACCGGCCACACUGGGACUGAGACACGGCCCAGACUCCUACGGGAGGCAGCAGUGGGGAAUUUUGGACAAUGGGCGCAAGCCUGAUCCAGCCAUGCCGCGUG